rnacentral:rRNA from 1 species
AACAAACGCUGGCGGCGUGCCUAAUACAUGCAAGUCGAACGGGGAAAGCUUUCGGGUGAGUACUAGUGGCGCACGGGUGAGGAACGCGUGGAUAAUCUGCCUUAGAGUGGGGGAUAACUAGUCGAAAGAUUAGCUGAUACCGCAUAAGACCACAGGAGCUGCGGCUCAAGGGGUCAAAGGUUUUUCGCUCUAAGAUGAGUCCGCGUAAGAUUAGCUAGUUGGUGAGGUAACGGCUCACCAAGGCGACGAUCUUUAACUGGUCUGAGAGGAUGAUCAGUCACACCGGAACUGAGACACGGUCCAGACUCCUACGGGAGGCAGCAGUAGGGAAUAUUGCACAAUGGAGGAAACUCUGAUGCAGCGACGCCGCGUGAGUGAUGAAGGCCUUCGGGUCGUAAAGCUCUGUCGCAGGGGAAUAACACAAUGAAUGUACCCUGUAAGAAAGGAUCGGCUAACUUCGUGCCAGCAGCCGCCGUAACAC